CCUUCCCUGUGCUAUUCCAUCAGCCUACAGACCUGGUACCUGGAUUUUUGCCCGAGAUGAUUCCUACCACCUUACUACUGAAGAAGACACCCAUUCCAGUGGACCACUGUGACCCAGGAGGCAUUCAGCCAUCAUGAUGUGGCCUUUACCUCCACUCCUGUCUUGUUCUACCCAGAUUCAGCACAGCCCUUUAUAGUGAAGUCAGAGUCCUCAAGCCAAAUAGCUAAAGCUGUUUUAUCACAACAAAGGCCUAGUUUGUUCCAUGAGUGUGCAUUUCAUUUCUUCAGUUAAAGCCUUCAGAGACACACAAUAAAUUUGGACCAGGGGAUUUUUUAGUUAUUAAUGCUCUCUGAAGAAAGGCAACAUCUUUUUGAGAGCAGCAUUGGACCACACCCCACAAUCUCAAAUGAUUGAAAUUCAUGAACAUCUAGGAUCCCGUGAAGGUCACUGGACCCUGUUUUUUCUACUUCAAAUCCUGUAGUAGCCUACUGAAUGAGAAAACAUAUUCUGACCCAUUGGGAUCAAAUCAAAGGCACAGUGAACUCCUCAUAGCAUCUUCUUUGGAAUUACUCAGGAACCAGAACUUUUUACACAAAUGUAAGAAAUUCUACCAAGGAGUCCCCUUACCUAACAGCAUCUCACAAGGCUGCACCAGAUUCCAGAAGAGGCUUCUCUUGAUACAUCAAGCAUUUUGUGACCGACUUAUUCUUAGAUCAUUGGUUUUCCAAAGGCUUUGUGGCCAUGAAGCCCUUUGAGUGAAAACUGUGCAGAAGCCCAGAGUAAAAGUGAAGCUGCUCUGGAUGAAGUAGUGAAGCAAGAGUAGGGGCCUGAAUCCUGCUACAACUAUCUUCCUUUACCACCGUGGUGACACCUAAGGGGACUUCCUUACAACACCUUGAACUCUUCCGAACACAGUUUGAAAACCACUGCCCCAGACAGCAAUAUGUUUGACCUGAAUGGCAUUCCAAUCUUUUCUGUACCUCCACUCAGCACAGUUCAUGUUCAGUAGAUGCUGAACAUUCUUAGAAAUACUGUGUGUGAACUUAGAAAAGUGCAAGAAGACAGGCAUGUCUUUGACCCCAGAAAUGAUCAUGGGCUGAAGAUGGUGUCAAGUGAACCUAGAUUAACAGCCCUCCACUCCAGAUGGAUAUCCAGUGAUUCCUAGAAUGGGAUAUAGCCAGAGAACAAUUCUAUGCACCCUACACUGACAGACUCCCUUAAGCAACACCAGAUGCUCUACUGGUACUUGAAGUACAUGACUUUGAAGUCUUGACCCUCCAUGAAUACCUGAAUUAUCAGCAAGCGGGUUUUGAAGCUGGUGCCUCAUUGAGGCCAUAUUAGAGCAACUUGUACAUUUGACCUCUUGUUAUCAGCCAUGGUACUCUACUUCGUGUGCAAGAGAUAACUAUGAAAGCCAAAUUCAAAUACUGGCAACAUUUCCUAAAGGGGCUCAAUAUCUAUCAUUCAUCUUCUUUUCCAAACUACACAUCACUGUAUGACUCAACCAGUAGCAGUUAUAUUGCCCCUUGGUUUUUAUUCAGUUUAACUACUGUUUCCAAGAUAAAUGAGCUAAUAAGCUUUAAAAAAAAAAAAAAA
rnacentral:antisense_RNA from 1 species